rnacentral:misc_RNA from 1 species
GGAUAAUAUUAUCAGGUUUGCCAAAGGCUGGUAGGAUAAAGAUACCACCUCAUCAAGUAAAGGAAAAGAUGCAUACAAUAUAUUAUUUUAGCAUAAUACACAGAUAUCUAUUAUAAAAUACCGAAAAUUGGAGGAAGACAAAAAUAGACAAAUAUUAGGAGCCCACUGUUCAACUAGACUUUCGUAAUCCUAACUCAGUUGUGACGUAUCUUAGCAAUUGUUUCACCAACUCUCUAACUCUAGCUUCCCUUGAUAUAACAAGUUCACACAAGGAUGGGAAAAGAACAAGUAAAUGUGAACGCCUUUCUUGAUUCUCUUUUCUGAGGCAUUCUUUUAAGUAAGGAUGUAAAGGAAGUUCAGAAACAGUGUCUGAAUGAACCACAAGAAGGGCAAGCUCUUGGAGGGUAAAGAUAACUUCUUCCACACGUGCUGCUGGCAAUGGGUUUUCUCCUAAUUUGCUCUCAUCCAUCAAGUACCUUUCCAGAAUAAAUUCACAUCUGUUUAUUAAUAUCUUUAAUGAUAUGUUGCUUACUUCACAUCUAGUUGAAUUCCAUUCACCGGUUCCUCGACUGCACAGAAGAAACAGCUUUUGCAAACAGGUCAAGGAGAACCUGCUACAAUGUGAAGGCAUCAGUUCGACAGUCUCAAGGGGCAAGGAACAUGUUCGUGAUGCACACCGAUCCAGAGUGCUGAUUAGACGAUCCACAAUUUCUAAUAGGCUACUGUGGUCGUGCACUUUCAGUGAUGGUGGACAGUGCUGAUGAAUGUCUCGAGAUGAAUCUCCUGGAUAUUCUAGGAGACAAG